CACUGCUUUCUUCAUUUUUUUCUUGCUGGAACUUUGGACUUUUACCUUACCUCUCCAAAGUCAUGGGGCUUUCCAGAUUUUCCAAUUCUUUGCUUGAGAUGCCAAUAAUCUGGACACCCUCCACCAGUAACACAUUUGGCAAGUCACCCAGGAGGAGAGACCAUCAAGCUUCAGAUGAUCAUGCAACAAACAUUCCAGCCAGUUCCUGGUGAAGACACCACCCUUGGCCAUCAGGAAACUACCCUGCCUCCACUAGACAGAAAAAGGCAAGAGUUCUGUAUCCCCAAUAGCAUGAUCAGCAAGAAGACACUGCAGGAAACUACCAACCCCUCUGAGAGCCCUGCCCCUGUACCUGCUAUGGCCUUCUCUCCAGCAGUGAGGGCUCUGUCUGACUUCAGGAUGGAUUCCUCUAUAACCACCUGUGACUGCAGGAAAUCCCAGAGGACCUUGUCUGCCUGAGGAGCCAAGAAAAAACAAAGACUUGUCAGGCAGCAAAGAUCUCAACUUAUAAUGACAAAAUUAUUGUUCAAUAAAGUCAAAAAUCUAA